rfam:Trichomalopsis sarcophagae strain Alberta scaffold6952, whole genome shotgun sequence.
AAAUCGGUCCUUUUCAGGACCACUAUAAAAUAUUUAACUUAUAAUAU